AUAAAUGCUAUGAUAAGAAAUAGUAACAUAAGGUAAUCUAUUAGAGAGAAAUCCUCUUGGCUGAAAGGGAUUUUUAGUGUAACUUAUGUGAAUGCAUCUUUGAGCACUGUCUCGAAAUAUAGUAGACGACAGCGUGUACGCCCGUUAAAGCGUUGAGGUAUUAUUGUACCAAAAUGAGAUGUUAUUGUAUAUUUACUGCAAUAAUAAUUAGAGUGGAAUCGCGGAAGUUAACUUCUGCCUCUAAA
rnacentral:ncRNA from 1 species